CCAGACUCCUACGGGAGGCAGCAGUGAGGAAUAUUGGUCAAUGGCCGAGAGGCUGAACCAGCCAAGUCGCGUGAGGGAAGACGGCCCUACGGGUUGUAAACCUCUUUUGUCGGGGAGCAAAGCGAACCACGUGUGGUUCAUUGAGAGUACCCGAAGAAAAAGCAUCGGCUAACUCCGUGCCAGCAGCCGCGGUAAUACGGAGGGUGCGAGCGUUAAUCGGAAUUACUGGGCGUAAAGCGCACGUAGGCUGUAUGACAAGUCAAGGGUGAAAUGCCACGGCUCAACCGUGGAACUGCCUUUGAAACUGUCAAACUGGAGUAUGUGAGAGGGCGGCGGAAUUCCUGGUGUAGGAGUGAAAUCCGUAGAUAUCAGGAGGAACAUCAGUGGCGAAGGCGGCCGCCUGGCACAAAACUGACGCUGAGGUGCGAAAGCGUGGGUAGCAAACAGGAUUAGAUACCCUAGUAU
rnacentral:rRNA from 1 species